UCCAGACUCCUACGGGAGGCAGCAGUGGGGAAUAUCGCACAAUGGGGGAAACCCUGAUGCAGCAACGCCGCGUGAGUGAGGAAGUAUUUCGGUAUGUAAAGCUCUCUCAGCAGGGAAUAGAAAAGAAGGUACCUGAAAAAGAAGCCCCGGCUAACUACGUGCCAGCAGCCGCGGUAAUACGUAGGGGGCAAGCGUUAUCCGGAUUUACUGGGUGUAAAGGGAGCGUAGACGGUAUGGCAAGUCUGAAGUGAAAGCCCCGGGCUCAACCUGGGAACUGCUUUGGAAACUGUUAAACUAGAGUGCUGGAGAGGCAGGCGGAAUUCCUAGUGUAGCGGUGAAAUGCGUAGAUAUUAGGAGGAACACCAGUGGCGAAGGCGGCCUGCUGGACAGUAACUGACGUUGAGGCUCGAAAGCGUGGGGAGCAAACAGGAUUAGAUACCCGUGUAAG
rnacentral:rRNA from 1 species